GCCGACUUAACUCAAUGGUAGAGUGUUUGUUUUGUAAACAAAAUGUUAUCGGUUCAAGUCCGAUAGUCGGUU
rnacentral:tRNA from 1 species